rnacentral:rRNA from 1 species
UACAGAGGUGGCAAGCGUUGUUCGGAAUUACUGGGCGUAAAGGGCGCGUAGGCGGCCUUCUUAGUCGGACGUGAAAUCCCCAGGCUUAACUUGGGAACUGCGUCCGAUACUGGAUGGCUUGAGUGCGGGAGAGGGAUGUGGAAUUCCAGGUGUAGCGGUGAAAUGCGUAGAUAUCUGGAGGAACACCGGUGGCGAAGGCGGCAUCCUGGACCGACACUGACGCUGAGGCGCGAAAGCGUGGGGAGCAAACAGG